rnacentral:rRNA from 1 species
GACGAACGCUGGCGGCGUGCUUAACACAUGCAGGUCGAACGGGUCUGCCCUGUUUUUUGCGGGGUGGGUCAGUGGCGAACGGGUGAGUAACACGUGAGUAACCUGCCCCUCACUUCUGGAUAACCGCUUGAAAGGGUGGCUAAUACGGGGUGUUCUGGCUGUGCCGCAUGGUGUGGCUGGGAAAGAUUCACUUUUGUGGUGUUUUGGUGGGGGAUGGGCUCGCGGCCUAUCAGCUUGUUGGUGGGGUGAUGGCCUGCCAAGGCUUUGACGGGUAGCCGGCCUGAGAGGGUGGGCGGUCACACUGGGACUGAGAUACGGCCCAGACUCCUGCGGGAGGCAGCAGUGGGGGGUAUUGCACAAUGGGCGGAAGCCUGAUGCAGCGACGUCGCGUGAGGGAUGGAGGCCUUCGGGUUGUGAACCUCUUUCGCCGGUGAAGAAGGUCCUGCUCUUUGUGGUGGGGUUGACGGUAGCCGGGUUAUGAAGCGCCGGCUAACUACGUG